AUCCCAGCAAAAUGGUUAUCGUUUGUCUGAUUCAUGGGAGGCAGAAAUUAUACAUGGAAAUUCGCUGAUAGCACCUUUUCUCAUUAGAGUGUUGCUAAUUGUAUGUUAUCAGACAUAU
rfam:Glycine soja cultivar W05 scaffold2240_19, whole genome shotgun sequence.